ensembl:lncRNA
UGCAGCCGGGCGCCUCCUCGGGCUCCGGGCCGCGUCCCCUCACGGCUCUGCCCGCGUCCGGGGGGUCCGUUCCUCUCAGCCGUCGCUCUCCGGUUGAUAGUACCCAGCUGCAUGGAAAUAGGAGGAAUGUCUGCUGCUUCAAACAAAUUUCCAGCCUUCUGGAGGUUAUUCUCAGCUGAAGUCAAUGGAAAGGACAGAUACAUGAGAGCAGAGACCACUUUCUGAAGCCAUUCUGUGCAAAAGUUUGUACUAGAACUACUAGGGGAUGGAAAUCAUAAUACAGCUGAAGAGACCUUCAUUUAGACACUGGAUUUCUGGAAUCACAAAGCUUCAAAAACAUUGUGCAGCUUUUAAACUGCAACAAGAAUUGUGAGUGUCUCAGGAAGGAAUGGACUUGGACCAGGUCAGGAGGAGAGCACAGCAGAUAUACCUGGCUCUGGAUUCUGGUGAGUCCUUCAAGGUAAGAAGACAUACUAGAGACCUUCAUGUAUGCAUGCUAUUGCUUGCAUGUUUCUGGGUGGUAGAAAUGCUACAACCUCCGAUGUGUCUAGCUCCCUCAUGGCACCAAGAUAGGGAAUACCAAAGCACUGAGCAGCAGAGAAAAGGUAAAAAUCAUUGGCUGGGGGUGGGAGUGACAAAACUGGGCUUCUCAAUUGUGCUUUGGAGUGUGAGGUAAUAAUGCUAGUGUGAACUGGUGGUAGAGUAAUAGAUUUUUCAGGUGCAGAUUAAGAUAUCAAGCCUUUCAGAAAGGUGUAUUUGUCUCAGUAUGUUGGGGGGAUCGAGAUGGAAGCGACUGAGUAAAAACACGAUGUAGGAGGUCAGACCAGAAUGUCUUUAUGGUUCCAUCAGCUCUUAACGUUUUAAGAAAGUUAAACUGAAACCUCUCUGUGCUGGGGUUUGAAUAGCACAUCUCUGUAGAGCUGUAAGUAUCUCAAGCUCAAGGGGCUUUAAAGUUUUAAAUGAGACUGCAAUGUUUGCGUCAACUCGUGUUUUACAUUAGAGGACAGCUGCCCUUAUAAUCCUUGGUUGUGUAAUGGAGAAGCCAAAUCGUGGACGUGAGCAGUUAAAAAAGGCAUGUGCAGUGGAUGAAAAGGAGAUCCAACGAAUAUUAAAAACCAUCAAGCUGUCACUGAAGGACAGUAACGUCUUUUGGCUUUCUUCCAGAAUGUGCAAUCAAAGCCCUUGUGUAAAUCCUACAUAAGUGAGGGUCUGAGGGAGCAGGGAGUAAAUGCUUCCCAAUGAACCUGGACAAAGGUAAGUGUGAUACUGACAAUGUGGUCACCUUGUCCAUCUGAAGCUUUUGUUCAAUCCCUGAUGAAAUUUGAACAGAACAGGAAAGUAAGAAAUAAAAACUAGAAAUGAAGAAGAAAAUCCAGAAAAACUUUUUCUCCUGUCCUUUCUCCUCCUCCAUUAAGACUCAUGUGGGAUGUGUGUAAGCUGAGGAAAUGUAAACAGAAGUGGUCCCUGAUGAGUGAUAACCACUACUGCAAUGCUAUAAGGUGCAGUAGGAUUAAGGGCCUUUGCUGCAAUUCCCUGGGAUGAAGUAAUGUCACUUCUUUCUGAAUACAAAUAUUUGAUGAAGUUUGUCCUGUGGAGCAAUAGUUUGUUAGAACAGAAGACUCAAACGACACUGUUGAACUUUAGGCUAUUUUAAUGUGUUUUUAGGCAGAAGUUUCAAUCAGUAAAAUUGUUUAUUUUGACUUUCUGUAUGGAGAAAUAGAGCAUUUCAAUCCAGUAGAUCAUGUUAAAGAAAAAAAGUUACCCAAACCAAAAUUCUUCUGACAUUUUGUUUGUGGAAACGUGAAGUUGCUUGGGCAUUUGUAGUGUUUUGAGAUUACCUCCUCACCUACACAGAACACUUUGUUACUUCCCAGUUCUGCCUUACAGGUUCAUGGUUUGGCGUGGUCCACAGUUGUCACAAGAAUCAGCUGAAGACCACAGCAAUUAAAUAUCUGUGUGGUUUACUAUCAUAUUCUAAAUACUAAACAGACAAAUAUUCUCAGAGAGGUUUGACAGCUGACCUGCAGACCGUACACAGCAUUUGCUUGUCUUUAAGCUAUUGAUAUUUCUAUGAAGAUAUAGUUCAUUAAUUAUUAUUUUUACUGAUGUUCAAUUGAUGUCUUAUUAAAUAUAAAUCAUGUUUGGGAAUAAUAAUUUAAUGGGACGAGUCAGAUGAGAAUCCUCCAGAUAGUUUAUAAUGAAGCUUCACGUUAUUGAUAAUUCUAAGCGCAUAAAUUAUUAAGGAUGGAAAAAAAAAUGCAACUGUUCUAAAAUAAGCUAUGAAAAUGUGAAGUGGUGGUGAACAGACACACAGCGUGCUGGGACUGCUGCAUGACAACGUGUGUUUGGCACUAAGUCAUGUAAGUCAGAACCACUUCAACGUCUCCUGCUCUUACCAAAACAUUUCAUAUUUAAGCAGGUAUCUUCCCCUUGUAUCCCAUUAUUAUGCUGCACCAUUCUGUUCACAGACAUUUUGCAUUGCCUGGGAAAACUGUUAAUUUAAUACACUGAGCUGACCCCGGAGGCACUGAAACGACAUGGCAGCAGCAGUCUGGAGUGCUGCAGUAUAUCCUGCUGUUAACAGCUGGGGAUACUGUGCACUUUUCUAGACAGUUGUCUGAGAGCUCUUUAGGGACAAGUGAGGAAGCUGGCUGUUUGACCACACUGUCAAGGAGGGUACAUCCUGUCCCUUAGCAUCUUUCCUCUUUUCCAUGGAAGACAGAUUUCCCAGUCGCUCCUCUGAUUUUCUCGAAGAGUUGGCAACAAAACCAUUGGUCUCCUUCCUACAAGAAAGAAAGAAAGGAGUAAAAACCCUCAGGUAGGACUUGGAAGAAGGCCCUGGCCUGCCCUCAUCUCGACACUGUUUGCACACUGCUCAGCUUACUCAUGACCAUUCUGUCAGCACGAUACUGAGGUGAAGUAGAGAAGAACACAGUAUUUGGUAAUCAAAAUGAAGGGAGAAACAAAAGAAGAGGCCAGCAAUGCAAGGCAGUUAUUAAGAGGAAUUGACUAAGAUAGGAAAGAACAAGAUGGAUAAUACAGAAAGUUUUGGAGAAGAAGCAUUCCUCCUCUGAAAGGGCAGCAGGCAGGAAGUUCCUAAAUGGAAAAGGAAAAUAUUGUUCUACUUGAACAUCACCCUGGCACUGUCAGAUGAUUCACAGGCCCUGGAGAACACAGACAUUACCAGCUCAGCACAUCUAUAUACCAAUCACCAUUUGUCAUAUGCGAGUACUUCCCACAGUCCUAAAAAAGGAUUGGUUUUGUGUAUUAUUUGCUGGAAAUGUAACAAACUUCAUACUGAACAGCAAAAUAAAAACAGUGCUUGAUUGUUUUAUUGACUGUUUGCCUAUUUACUUGGGAAAACUUCACUUCAGGAUUCUUUAUGCAAUCUAAUAAAAGGACCCCCACAGCUG